GUGAAAGUGUUGAAAGGGAAGCGCUUGCAGCCAGACGUGCCCGUAGUUGCUCAUCGGGGGUUCUCCCCCGUGUACUCUUCUAUGGGCAGGCCAGCAUCAGUCCGGGCGGUUGGAGAAAGACCUGUGUCAUGUAGCUGUUUUCGGGCAGUGUUAUAGGGCAGGUGGAAUGCAACCAGCCUGGACUGAGGUCCGCGCAUCUGCUAGGAUGCUGGCGUAAUGGCUGUAAGCGGCCCGUCUUGAAACACGGACCAAGGAGUCUAACAUCUAUGCGAGUGUUUGGGUGUCAAGCCCGAGCGCGUAAUGAAAGUGAACGGAGGUGGGAACCUUUUAGGUGCACCAUCGACCGAUCCUGAUGUCUUCGGAUGGAUUUGAGUAAGAGCAUAGCUGUUGGGACCCGAAAGAUGGUGAACUAUGCCUGAAUAGGGUGAAGCCAGAGGAAACUCUGGUGGAGGCUCGCAGCGGUUCUGACGUGCAAAUCGAUCGUCAAAUUUGGGCAUAGGGGCGAAAGACUAAUCGAACUAUCUAGUAGCUGGUUCCUGCCGAAGUUUCCCUCAGGAUAGCAGUAACGUUUUCAGUUUUAUGAGGUAAAGCGAAUGAUUAGAGGCCUGGGGGUUGAAACAACCUUCACCUAUUCUCAAACUUUAAAUAUGUAAGAAGUCCUUGUUUCUUAAUUGAACGUGGACAUUUGAAUGUAUCGUUACUAGUGGGCCAUUUUUGGUAAGCAGAACUGGCGAUGCGGGAUGAACCGAACGCGGGGUUAAGGUGCCAGAAUGCACGCUCAUCAGACACCCACAA
rnacentral:rRNA from 1 species